CCUACGGGAGGCAGCAGUGGGGAAUUUUGGACAAUGGGCGAAAGCCUGAUCCAGCAAUGCCGCGUGAGUGAAGAAGGCCUUCGGGUUGUAAAGCUCUUUUGUCAGGGAAGAAACGGUGAGAGCUAAUAUCUUUUGCUAAUGACGGUACCUGAAGAAUAAGCACCGGCUAACUACGUGCCAGCAGCCGCGGUAAUACGUAGGGUGCAAGCGUUAAUCGGAAUUACUGGGCGUAAAGCGUGCGCAGGCGGUUUUGUAAGUCUGAUGUGAAAUCCCCGGGCUCAACCUGGGAAUUGCAUUGGAGACUGCAAGGCUAGAAUCUGGCAGAGGGGGGUAGAAUUCCACGUGUAGCAGUGAAAUGCGUAGAUAUGUGGAGGAACACCGAUGGCGAAGGCAGCCCCCUGGGUCAAGAUUGACGCUCAUGCACGAAAGCGUGGGGAGCAAACAGGAUUAGAUACCCUGGUAGUCCACGCCCUAAACGAUGUCUACUAGUUGUCGGGUCUUAAUUGACUUGGUAACGCAGCUAACGCGUGAAGUGACCGCCUGGGGAGUCGGUUGCGAAGAUUAAAACUCAAAAUUGAAUUGACGGGCNGAGACGNGCGACGGACGACGACGAGGGAGGAGG
rnacentral:rRNA from 1 species